GAUGAAGAACGCAGCGAAAUGCGAUAAGUAAUGUGAAUUGCAGAAUUCAGUGAAUCAUCGAGUCUUUGAACGCACAUUGCGCCCCCUGGUAUUCCGGGGGGCAUGCCUGUCCGAGCGUCAUUGCUGCCCUCAAGCACGGCUUGUGUGUUGGGCCCCCGUCCCCGGUUUCCCCCGGGGACGGGCCCGAAAGGCAGCGGCGGCACCGCGUCCGGUCCUCGAGCGUAUGGGGCUUUGUCACCCGCUCUGUAGGCCCAGCCGGCGCCAGCCGACACCCAACUUUAUUUCUAAGGUUGACCUCGGAUCAGGUAGGGAUACCCGCUGAACUUAAGCAUAUCAAUAAGCGGAGGA
rnacentral:misc_RNA from 1 species